rnacentral:misc_RNA from 1 species
GUGAGUCAUCGAAUCUUUGAACGCACAUUGCGCCCUUUGGUAUUCCGAAGGGCAUGCCUGUUCGAGCGUCAUUACACCACUCAAGCCUCGCUUGGUAUUGGGCGCCGCGGUCCGCCGCGCGCCCCAAUGUCUCCGGCUGAGCCGACCGUCUCUAAGCGUUGUGGCUUUUACGAGUUUCGCUUGUGGGACGGGCCGGUUUGUCGCCGUUAAACCUCUUUUUACCAGGUUGACCUCGGAUCAGGUAGGGAUACCCGCUGAACUUAAGCAUAUCAAUAAGCGGAGGA